GUAAGUUACCGGCUAGGAACUAUGUAAUGAACUACUUCAAUUGCAAGCUAUUGCAAGUAUCAACUUGAUGAUAAGCAAGUUUGUGCACACACUAGGCAAAUUGUGAGCGGAUUACAUUGCCUUCAUUCUCGUGGUGUGGUUCAUAGGAGGACAAUAGUAAAAAUUGCAAGAUAACAGGCUGGAGUGCUGGCAUUACAAAUGUCUUUAAAGGAAAAAACUGGAAAAAGAUAAGUAUUCCCUUCACUUGCACAUUGAUAAUAUUCUUUGUCUUUACCUCUCUGUUAAGCCUACCAUUGCCACAAGCCUACAUAAAUGACAGGAGUGCUGGCAUUACAAAUGUCAUUUGGAUUUGUGCACACCCCUAAAAUAGAGUUGAAGGGAAUUGACAUGUUUUUAUAUACACCGAAAGAACCCAAGCUUAUGUGUGGGCAUAUGUUUGUUUGACCAAACUGAUCAUUGAACAAGCAUGGAUAUGUCUCUCUCACUCACAUUUAAGUUAUAUUUAUGCUUGCUUCAAAUACUUUUCAAAUUAUUCUAAUGCUUUCCCAGUUUCCCUACAUUUUUUUAAUAAUAUGAACCAUUAAAUAUGUUUCUUGGUAUUGGUACUGAAUUUGCUGUCUCUACUUCUGCCUAAACUUGUUUUUCUGUACUCAUAUCAUCUAUGUCCAUAGUGCCUUGCACUCAUGCCCUCUUUGGUAUUAAUUUGCCAGGCAACUCCUGAUAUGGCAGUUACCCUUUUAGAAAUAGCAAGAAUUUUUGCAACCAAAGUUCCUGGCAAGAUUGAUGCAGAUGUGCAACUACUAUGGUGUAGUUCCUAGGAGAAAAUGCAAAUUAUGCUGCUUCUGAAUAUGCUUGGGAAUCAGCAACCCCUCCUGGUACAGCAUUAAUGAUGUUAGAUGCAGAUAAAAUGGUUGCUGUGGAUUUGAAAGGCAGAGUAUAUGAGGUGCUGAGACAGAAUGGUUCUUGUUUGCUUAGAAAGUUUGAACUAUCUUCAUAGACAUAUUUUAUUUGUAAAUUAACAUUCUAUAGC